AGAGUUUGAUCCUGGCUCAAGACGAACGCUGGCGGCGUGCCUAAUACAUGCAAGUCGAGCGAGCUUGCCUAGAUGAUUUUAGUGCUUGCACUAAAUGAAACUAGAUACAAGCGAGCGGCGGACGGGUGAGUAACACGUGGGUAACCUGCCCAAGAGACUGGGAUAACACCUGGAAACAGAUGCUAAUACCGGAUAACAACACUAGACGCAUGUCUAGAGUUUGAAAGGUGGUUCUGCUAUCACUCUUGGAUGGACCUGCGGUGCAUUAGCUAGUUGGUAAGGUAACGGCUUACCAAGGCAAUGAUGCAUAGCCGAGUUGAGAGACUGAUCGGCCACAUUGGGACUGAGACACGGCCCAAACUCCUACGGGAGGCAGCAGUAGGGAAUCUUCCACAAUGGACGAAAGUCUGAUGGAGCAACGCCGCGUGAGUGAAGAAGGGUUUCGGCUCGUAAAGCUCUGUUGGUAGUGAAGAAAGAUAGAGGUAGUAACUGGCCUUUAUUUGACGGUAAUUACUUAGAAAGUCACGGCUAACUACGUGCCAGCAGCCGCGGUAAUACGUAGGUGGCAAGCGUUGUCCGGAUUUAUUGGGCGUAAAGCGAGUGCAGGCGGUUCAAUAAGUCUGAUGUGAAAGCCUUCGGCUCAACCGGAGAAUUGCAUCAGAAACUGUUGAACUUGAGUGCAGAAGAGGAGAGUGGAACUCCAUGUGUAGCGGUGGAAUGCGUAGAUAUAUGGAAGAACACCAGUGGCGAAGGCGGCUCUCUGGUCUGCAACUGACGCUGAGGCUCGAAAGCAUGGGUAGCGAACAGGAUUAGAUACCCUGGUAGUCCAUGCCGUAAACGAUGAGUGCUAAGUGUUGGGAGGUUUCCGCCUCUCAGUGCUGCAGCUAACGCAUUAAGCACUCCGCCUGGGGAGUACGACCGCAAGGUUGAAACUCAAAGGAAUUGACGGGGGCCCGCACAAGCGGUGGAGCAUGUGGUUUAAUUCGAAGCAACGCGAAGAACCUUACCAAGUCUUGACAUCCCGGUGACGCAGGCAGAAAUGUCUGUUCUUUUCGGAGCACCGGAGACAGGUGGUGCAUGGUUGUCGUCAGCUCGUGUCGUGAGAUGUUGGGUUAAGUCCCGCAACGAGCGCAACCCUUAUUGUUAGUUGCUACGCAAGAGCACUCUAGCGAGACUGCCGUUGACAAAACGGAGGAAGGUGGGGACGACGUCAAAUCAUCAUGCCCCUUAUGUCCUGGGCCACACACGUACUACAAUGGUGGUCAACAGAGGGAAGCAAUGCCGCGAGGCGGAGCAAAUCCCUAAAAGCCAUCCCAGUUCGGAUCGCAGGCUGCAACCCGCCUGCGUGAAGUUGGAAUCGCUAGUAAUCGCGGAUCAGCAUGCCGCGGUGAAUACGUUCCCGGGCCUUGCACACACCGCCCGUCA
rnacentral:rRNA from 1 species